UCUCAACAUAAGCUAAUAAUAUAUUUUCAUCUCAUUGAAGCAGUUAUGUAUUGUCAUCACAUUGUAAAUUUCUGUCAAGAAAACUGCUAUUUAAGAAAUCAAAUUGCCAAAAGGUAAAAAUAACUUUAUAAUUACUUUCCUGAAGAGGGACCAACUUCUUUUAAAUGGAAACAAUUCAUUGCCAGGGUAACAGUGCCAUUAAAUCACUAUCCUUUGUGUCUCCUAGUACCUUAUGAGGUAGAAUUAUAAAGAAAAAUUCUAAGAUAAAAUGACUUCAAAUAGCCUAGGAUAAAACCUGGGAGGCUCUUUCUAUUCAAUAGCAUACCUAAUGGGGCUUACUUUCAAAUUUCAUUCUUUUGGAGCUUGCACAAAAAUUUAAUUCCCAAAUUAAGCAAAAAAGAACAGAACCAAGAGAAUUAUAAAGAACAAAAUAGGAGCCGGUUUGUGCCCAGUGUCCUGUGCACACUCCUUGCAAGCAACGGCGCCAUGAGUCUGACCAGUUCCAGUGUACGAGUUGAAUGGAUCGCAGCAGCUACCAUUGCUGCUGGAACAGCUGCACUCGGUUGUCUAGCUUACAAAAGAUUUUAUGUUAAAGAUCAUCGCAAUAAAGCAAUGGUAAACCUUCACAUCCAGAAAGACAACCCCAAGGUAGUACAUGCUUUUGACAUGGAGGAUUUGGGAGAUAAAGCUGUGUACUGUCGUUGUUGGAGAUCCAAAAGGUUCCCAUUCUGUGAUGGGGCUCACACAAAACACAACAAAGAGACCGGAGACAACGUGGGACCUCUGAUCAUCAAGAAAAAAGAAACUUAAAUGGCCAAUUUUGAUGCUGCAAACCAACUUGCCAUGAUGUGACCUGAUUGUUUAAUUACAAUGACUAGCACUUCUGUCUAAUUCACCUCCCCUGGGUUCUAGAUGUGGUAUAUUGCAAAGUAGAGCUUUCAUAUUCAUGGCAUUUGCCUUACUUGUUGAAACAUUAUAGUGCACAUUUGUUUAAACAAAAAAAAAAAAGGAAAAA